rnacentral:rRNA from 1 species
AAAUUGAAGAGUUUGAUCAUGGCUCAGAUUGAACGCUGGCGGCAGGCCUAACACAUGCAAGUCGAACGGUAACAGGAAGCAGCUUGCUGCUUCGCUGACGAGUGGCGGACGGGUGAGUAAUGUCUGGGAAACUGCCUAAUGGAGGGGGAUAACUACUGGAAACGGUGGCUAAUACCGCAUAACGUCGCAAGACCAAAGAGGGGGACCUUCGGGCCUCUUGCCAUCAGAUGUGCCCAGAUGGGAUUAGCUAGUUGGUGAGGUAACGGCUCACCAAGGCGACGAUCCCUAGCUGGUCUGAGAGGAUGACCAGCCACACUGGAACUGAGACACGGUCCAGACUCCUACGGGAGGCAGCAGUGGGGAAUAUUGCACAAUGGGCGCAAGCCUGAUGCAGCCAUGCCGCGUGUAUGAAGAAGGCCUUCGGGUUGUAAAGUACUUUCAGCGGGGAGGAAGGUGUUGUGGUUAAUAACCGCAGC